rnacentral:misc_RNA from 1 species
ACAUUAUAGAAGUAUGCCAUCUUGAAUAUUUAAUAUAUUGUUUUACCGCGUUUCAUUGUGCGUACGUCAAUUUCGAAUUUCAUUCUUAAAUCAUAAACUGUCGGUUUUCAAACUUUUCAAAAGCGGAACAAAAAUGUUUCCACAAAGUUCACAGAGUAGAUAUUGGAUAUUUAAUGAUGAAAAUGAUUUGACAGCGUUGAGAGAGAAAACCAACGCAGAAUUUAUUCAAAAACAUGGUGCAAACAUGACGGUAAGUUGUGCUGUUUUUAACGGUAAGUUGAGAAUGCAAUUUUAUAUUUUGUUUUUCAAUAAAAUAUAAACAAUUUUGAAUUUAAAAUAUUAUCUUUGAAUUAGUUUCUAUAAUUUAUAGGUUAUUUAAAUAUUCAUUUUACUCUUAAUUAUUUGUCUUUAUUGAUAAGCUAUAAUUAUACGUACAUAUUAUUUUAUUAUUUUUAUGUUACUAUGUUUUUAAUUCGUUAUGUUACUAUGUUUUUUUAAUUCGUUUAUCACUUAUCUUAUAUCAUGUAUCUUAUACUAUUAUAAUACUAUAAGAUACAUGAGUUUUAUAUAUUUGUUAAGUAAACGAAUCAUAUUUUCUCUAAUUGUAAUACAUAAUAUAUAUUUUGAAAAGCCAGGGGAAAGGGAAGAACAUUUUCUUUCCCAUACAGAAGAACGUAUAUUACUUCGUUUUUAUGAAUUACAAUUAAGAGAUUUUUGUCGUCGUUUUACUCCUUCAAUGCCACGUGCUACUAUAGCAACUGCAUUACAUUAUUUCAAAAGAUUCUAUCUCAGAAACAGUGUUAUGGAUUAUCAUCCCAAAGAGAUUUUAGUCACAUGUGUCUACUUGGCCUGUAAAGUAGAAGAAUUUAACGUCUCCAUAUAUCAAUUUGUUGCAAAUAUUAAAGGAGAUAGAGAAAAAGCAUCUGAUAUUAUACUUAAUAAUGAAUUACUUCUUAUGCAACAGUUAAAUUAUAAUUUGACAGUACAUAAUCCAUUCAGGCCAGUAGAAGGUUUAAUGAUAGAUAUCAAGACAAGGUAUACCUCUUUGGAAAAUCCAGAAAGGUUAAGGCCAUAUAUUGAUGAAUUUUUAGAAAGAGUAUUUUUGACUGAUAGCGUUUUACUAUAUACUCCAAGCCAAGUUGCAUUGGCUGCAACAUUACAUGCUGCAUCCAGAGCAUCUGCUAAUUUAGAUAAUUAUGUAACUGAUAUUUUAUUCUCUAAAGAACAUUUGGGAUGUAUAAUAGAAGCAGUAAGAAAAAGUUAUUACAGAAAUAAGAUCUAUGGCUAAAUGUGUAGAUCCUCCUUCAAGAGAAAUGGUAAGAGCUUUAGAAAAAAAAUUAGAAAAAUGUAGAAAUCAGGAAAAUAAUCCUGAUAGUGAAAUUUAUAAACAAAGAAUGCAAGAAAUGUUGGAUGAAGAAGAUUUACAGGACAAUGAGAAAUAUGCUAAAAUUAUACAGGAUCAAGCAGCUCACGAUGAGAAAAUUUUGGGUGUCAGUAAAGUUUUGUCUCCUUCAGCUCUGUAAUAAAGUCAUUGUUGAAAUAUUGUAUUUAUAUCAUUUUUUAUAUUUUUAUUUAUUGUACAGGUAAUAAAUAAUUUAAUUACUUA